rnacentral:rRNA from 1 species
GUCCACUGCUGUAAACGAUGAGUGCUAGACGUUGGGGGCUUGCCCUUCAGUGUCGCAGCUAACGCAUUAAGCACUCCGCCUGGGAAGUACGGCCGCAAGGUUAAAACUCAAAGGAAUUGACGGGGGCCCCGCACAAGCGGUGGAGCAUGUGGUUUAAUUCGACGCAACGCGCAGAACCUUACCAACCCUUGACAUGGGAAGUUUGGGCUUCGGAGACGAGGUCCUUCAGUUCGGCUGGCUUCCACACAGGUGCUGCAUGGCUGUCGU